rnacentral:rRNA from 1 species
GAGUUUCUCUCUCACCAAGUCUGANGUUGUCUCAGCGCAACACCUAACCGAAGUAGUCACUAACUGGUGAUAAUCGUUUAGAGUCAAGCGCUGGUGAAUGGCAGCUUUUAAAGAACUUAUCCACUAAUGAUACCUGAAAUAAGCAAGAUUACCCGCUGAACUUAAGCAUAUCAGUAAGCGGAGGAAAAGAAAAUAACAAUGAUUACCUCAGUAGCGGCGAGUGAAGAGGUAAAAGCCCAAGAUGUUAAUCCGUAGUAAGGCUAUGGAAUUGUAAUCUAAAGAAUUUCUCAGAAGGAUGAGGCUUGUCAUAAGUUCUUUGGAACAAGACACCAUAGAGGGUGAAAGUCCCGUCUUUGGAUGAGCCAAACCGUAUGAGAUGUUUCUAAGAGUCGGGUAGUUUGGGAAUGCUGCCCUAAGUGGGAGAUAAACUUCUCCUAAGGCUAAAUAU